rnacentral:rRNA from 1 species
CCUACGGGAGGCUGCAGUGAGGAAUAUUGGUCAAUGGGCGCGAGCCUGAACCAGCCAAGUCGCGUGAGGGAAGACGGCCCUACGGGUUGUAAACUUCUUUUGUAGAGGAGCAAAGCGAGCCACGUGUGGCUUAUUGAGUGUACUCUAUGCACAAGCAUCGGCUCACUCCGUUCCAGCAGCCGCGGUAAUACGGAGGAUCCGAGCGUUGUCCGGCUUUAAUGGGUUUCAAGGGAGCGCAGAAGGGUAGGUAAGUCAGCUGUGAAAUUGGGGGGCUCAACCCCCGGACUGCAGUUGAUACUGGAUGUCUUGAGUGCAGGAGAGGUAGGCGGAAUGCGUGGUGUAGCGGUGAAAUGCAUAGAUAUCACGAAGAACUCCGAUGGCGAAGGCAGCUUACUGGACUGCAACUGACGUUGAUGCUCGAAAGCGUGGGUAUCGAACAGGAUUAGAUACCCUUGUAGUC